GGGGGCGACAAGGUUUCGACGGGGGUAAUUGAGGCAAAGGUUGCAUGUCGAGGUGUCCGUUGGCCUCGUAAAACAGCGGAAAAAUAAUAAUUGCCGAUGAAGAAUUGGCUUUAGCCGCUUAGUACGGCUUCGUCCAUCCAAUCCUUUGCUCGCGAGGAUGGAAUGGGCGUCGAAAAGCGAGAUAUAUAGUUUAGCUUUGCUCAAGGGCUAAAUUAUGAAAUUUUACUUGAGAUAGCUUUCGAUGAAUCCUGCCUAUGGGAGUUUUCGAAGGCGAAUGAAGAACAUAGGACAAGCAUGUAGUAGCCUUUGUUGAAAUACUCUCGGACGCGAGUUCGAUUCUCGCCGCCUCCACCA
rnacentral:tmRNA from 1 species